UGGGGGAUCCAUUACUGCUGAAAAUUGUAGUCUCCUUGCAGUUGUUUCAAUCGCCACUUCAUUCUCUUUCGAUCUAACCUUUUCUGCAUCUGCAUGUAAAUUUUCCUUCAAUUGGUACAUUUGAGGAAGAAAAUUACCAAAUGUCAAAGGUUCAAGUGUUGUAGUAACUCCAUGCGCAGGUGUAACAAGCUUGGGAGGAACAGCGGAAG
rnacentral:lncRNA from 1 species